AGUGAACGCUGGCGGUAGGCCUAACACAUGCAAGUCGAACGGCAGCACAGUAAGAGCUUGCUCUUACGGGUGGCGAGUGGCGGACGGGUGGGGAAUACAUCGGAAUCUACUUUUUCGUGGGGGAUAACGUGGGGAAACUUCCGCUAAUACCGCAUACGACCUACGGGUGAAAGCAGGGGAUCUUCGGACCUUGCGCGAUUGAAUGAGCCGAUGUCGGAUUAGCUAGUUGGCGGGGUAAAGGCCCACCAAGGCGACGAUCCGUAGCUGGUCUGAGAGGAUGAUCAGCCACACUGGAACUGAGACACGGUCCAGACUCCUACGGGAGGCAGCAGCGGGGAAUAUUGGACAAUGGGCGCAAGCCUGAUCCAGCCAUACCGCGUGGGUGAAGAAGGCCUUCGGGUUGUAAAGCCCUUUUGUUGGGAAAGAAAAGCAGCAGGUUAAUACCCCGCUGUUCUGACGGUACCCAAAGAAUAAGCACCGGCUAACUUCGUG
rnacentral:rRNA from 1 species